rnacentral:sRNA from 1 species
CGGACUUCGACAUCUUGCGGCCUUCGACCUGCAGGAAGCCGUUGUGCAUCCAGACAUUCGCCAUCACCUCGGUGCCGUGGGCGCAACGCGACUGGGC